UAAUGUUUGAUGUUCUAACGUGGACCCGUAAUCCGGGUUGCGGACAGUGUCUGGUGGGUAGUUUGACUGGGGCGGUCUCCUCCUAAAGAGUAACGGAGGAGCACGAAGGUUGGCUAAUCCUGGUCGGACAUCAGGAGGUUAGUGCAAUGGCAUAAGCCAGCUUGACUGCGAGCGUGACGGCGCGAGCAGGUGCGAAAGCAGGUCAUAGUGAUCCGGUGGUUCUGAAUGGAAGGGCCAUCGCUCAACGGAUAAAAGGUACUCCGGGGAUAACAGGCUGAUACCGCCCAAGAGUUCAUAUCGACGGCGGUGUUUGGCACCUCGAUGUCGGCUCAUCACAUCCUGGGGCUGAAGUAGGUCCCAAGGGUAUGGCUGUUCGCCAUUUAAAGUGGUACGCGAGCUGGGUUUAGAACGUCGUGAGACAGUUCGGUCCCUAUCUGCCGUGGGCGCUGGAGAACUGAGGGGGGCUGCUCCUAGUACGAGAGGACCGGAGUGGACGCAUCACUGGUGUUCGGGUUGUCAUGCCAAUGGCACUGCCCGGUAGCUAAAUGCGGAAGAGAUAAGUGCUGAAAGCAUCUAAGCACGAAACUUGCCCCGAGAUGAGUUCUCCCUGAGACUUAGAGUCUCCUGAAGGAACGUUGAAGACGACGACGUUGAUAGGCCGGGUGUGUAAGCGCAGCGAUGCGUUGAGCUAACCGGUACUAAUGAACCGUGAGGCUUAACCUUACA
rnacentral:rRNA from 3 species